AUUGAACGCUGGCGGCAUGCCUUACACAUGCAAGUCGAACGGCAGCACGGGUGCUUGCGCCUGGUGGCGAGUGGCGAACGGGUGAGUAAUACAUCGAAACGUACCUUAUCGUGGGGGAUAACGCAGCGAAAGCUGUGCUAAUACCGCAUACGCCCUGAGGGGGAAAGCGGGGGAUCGCAAGACCUCGCGCGAUUAGAGCGGCCGAUGCCUGAUCAGCUUGUUGGUGGGGUAAAAGCCCACCAAGGCGACGAUCAGUAGCUGGUCUGAGAGGACGAUCAGCCACACUGGGACUGAGACACGGCCCAGACUCCUACGGGAGGCAGCAGUGGGGAAUUUUGGACAAUGGGGGCAACCCUGAUCCAGCAAUGCCGCGUGAGUGAAGAAGGCCUUCGGGUUGUAAAGCUCUUUUGUCAGGGAAGAAACACCGGCUCUAACACAGUCCGGGAAUGACGGUACCUGAAGAAUAAGCACCGGCUAACUACGUGCCAGCCGCCGCCGUAA
rnacentral:rRNA from 1 species